rnacentral:lncRNA from 1 species
GGAUUAGUGUUCAAAAGAAAUGCUGAUAACCUGGUGGGCAACCCGUCCAGACCAAAGAUGUGGCCUCUUUGGCUGACUGUGCCACGGUGGAAGGCAAGUUUGGCAGAGAAAGCCAGUACUCUUUAGCCGCUGCAGCUCAGUUAAAAAUCCCACUGCAGGGCCCCUAACCUGGUCCCGCAGGUUAGGCUGUAGGAGCGACUAGCAUAAAUAAUCCGGGCGAAAACCUCCUGGAGAGAUCCCAAAAACCAAGGUGACCUGUGUGCGUGGGCGAUCCGUUGGCUGAGUGACAGAAAUGCUGAAGAAAGCCAGGAAGAGGAUCUGCGUGGGAGGUGGAAAAAGCGUGGGCUGAGCUUGCAGCAACCAAAAGGCGCCACACACGUGUGCGAGGAACCCGCGGCGCUCGGAGUGGGCUGACAGGAAGCACCGCCCCACUAGGACACAUCAAGUUUUCUCUUAAGCAGUUUCAAACCCAGCGCGCUUUCCACGUGUAAGUACAAAUGAGAUGGGUGUCAAAUAACCAUAGCGCUUGUUCGGAUUUCUAUCUUUUCUCUUCUUGGGUCUAGCUCCUGUGUAGAGCAUGCCCACCUCUACCACAGCUCUCCCAUUUUCCUAACGCUUUCCUGGGCGGGGUUUCUGGGCCCCGCCCACCGAGGGCCCGCCCAGUAGCCGCCCCGGGGCGGGGCUCCCCUCGGCUCCCGACUGCCCUUUUCCCCUGCGGUCUCUGCCCCGGCUGCUGUGUCUCUACCGAGCUCCGGACACGUGCAGGAGCAUCCAGCCGUGAACUUUCAAGCAGAUGCAGCCCCAGGAUGACUCAAAAGUAG